rnacentral:rRNA from 1 species
GUGUCAGCAGCCGCGGUAAAACGUAGGGGACAAGCGUUAUCCGGAUUUACUGGGCGUAAAGCGCCCGUAGGCGGCUUAACAAGUUGGAUGUGAAAGCUCCCGGCUUAACUGGGAGAGGUCAUUCAAAACUGUUAGGCUAGAGGAUGGAAGAGGAGAGCGGAAUUCCCGGUGUAGUGGUGGAAUGCGUAGAGAUCGGGAGGAACACCAGUGGCGAAAGCGGCUCUCUGGUUCACACCUGACGCUGAGGGGCGAAAGCGUGGGGAGCGAACGGGAUUAGAAACCCCCGUAGUCC